GACGAACGCUGGCGGCGUGCUUAACACAUGCAAGUCGAACGGAAAGGCCCUGCCUUUGUGGGGUGCUCGAGUGGCGAACGGGUGAGUAACACGUGAGUAACCUGCCCUUGACUUUGGGAUAACUUCAGGAAACUGGGGUUAAUACCGGAUAGGAGCUCCUGCUGCAUGGUGGGGGUUGGAAAGUUUCGGCGGUUGGGGAUGGACUCGCGGCUUAUCUGCUUGUUGGUGGGGUAGUGGCUUACCAAGGCUUUGACGGGUAGUCGCCCCGAGAGGGUGACCGGCCACAUGGGGAGUGAGAUACGGCCGGGACUCCUAAGGAAGGCAGCAGUAGGGAAUAUUGCACAAUGGGCGCAAGCCGGGUGCAGCAACGCCGCGUGCGGGAUUAUGGCCUUCGGGUUGUAGACCACUUUCGCCUGUAAGGAUGCGUGAGUGACGGUAAUUGGUAAAGAAGCACCGGCUAACUACGUG
rnacentral:rRNA from 1 species